UGUUAUUGCAUGUUUGCCAUUGUUUAUGUUUGUGAAAAGGCCGAAUUAAAAGUCAGCCGGAUGGAGGCAAGUUUUACUCCAGGGUAAAUGCAGACUACAUCAGCGCAGGUGAGGACCGGUCUUUCUGAGUUCUCAUCCGGUCACACUGUGUGCCACGUGUGAGUUGAAUCUUCACCUUUCUCUGCUCUCUUCUCCAGAUGGAUUACCAGCCAAUGCUGUGUAUGAGGAAAUAGACCCUGCCACAGAAACAGAAGGUUCUGAAGUAGUUGGGCAGCACAGUUUCUAUUCAGCCGUUCAGUUAAAACCAUUAAACCAAGGUCCUACUGCAUAAUUGGACACAGGGAUCCACAUUCACUCAGUCUUACCUUCAUAUGUGAGGGAAUAUAUUCUUGCUAUAGGUACAUGCCACUAUAUCCUACUAUAUGUUUUCAUAUCAUAUGCAUUUUAAGGUCACUAUGUUGUACAUUAAAUAAUGAUAUGCAGUUGAACCACCCUAUUAAUUUCCUGCUCUGUUUUUAUAGUUUCCACAGUUAUCCUUAAAAUAUGACUCUGCAGAACUCAUAGGUCCUGUGUUGUGGAAAAUUGUUGUUGAAGUUGAUGAAACUUGAUGAAAAUGCAUUAAAUAAUUUAAUAAGUUUCUUAUCCAGGAGUUCUCAGCCCAGGUCCUGUGGGGCUAUACUGAAUCCCCCUUUUCAUUUCAUUACCCAGUGCUUAAUUGGUCAGUUAAAGUAGUUAACUGCAGUUAAUCCAACUCAUGUGGUUACUUGAAUCUAAGUUGGCUCCUGAAAACAGACGGUGGCAGACCCAGGCCUGGAUUAAUGCACAGGGUCACCCAGGCAGUAGUAAAGGUUGUCCUAGUCCCGAGGCCCAUGUCAUCUUAAUUCGGCCCUGGAUGCACCCUGUUCAUCAACAGGACCUGGGUUGAGAACCCCUAAUUUAAGGUAAUCAAACAUUUUGUAAUUCUGUAAUUUUGUCAAUGUUUAAGAGUUGGCAUUUGCUAACUAGUAUUCUUUUCUUGUAUUUAGAGAUAUGGUUAAAUGAAAUAGCAUUGGGACAGUGGCACACUUUUUGUCAUUUUGUCUCUGUACUCCA